rnacentral:sRNA from 1 species
AGCAGCCGCGGUAAUUCCAGCUCCAAUAGCGUAUAUUAAAGUUGUUGCAGUUAAAAAGCUCGUAGUUGAAUUUCGGGAUCAGUGGGUCGGUCGUGCCUCUGGUACGUACUGGUCUUACUGGUUCCUCCCUUCUGAAGAACCGCGAUGUCAUUAAUUUGGUGUUGCGGGGAAUCAGGACUGUUACUGUGAAAAAAUUAGAGUGUUUAAAGCAGGCUAAAGCUUGAAUACAUUAGCAUGGAAUAAUGAAAUAGGACGUUUGAUCUUAUUUUGUUGGUUUCUAAGAUCGACGUAAUGAUUAAUAGGGAUAGUUGGGGGCAUUAGUAUUCAAUUGUCAGAGGUGAAAUUCUUGGAUUUAUUGA